GCCCAGGCCCACCCGCAGGGUCCAGGCCCCUCCAGACUGGGGCCUCUCCCACAGCCGCAGGGUCUGGUAGGGCACCAGCAGAGUGGACAGGAACAUGGGGACCCACGUCACCAGAGCCAAGGGCAGCUGUCCGAAGCUGAAGCCAGAGCUCUUGGAAGACAAACUACUGAGCCCACCUGCUGCAAGUACUGACGCUCUCGGGCCUUGAGCCCCUGCUCUGCAGCGGGAGAAGCCGCCGCAAUGAGAAGCCCUUGCAGCACAGCUAGAGUGGCCCCUGCUCCCCGCAACUGGAUGCUGCGAAGAAGACCCAGCACGGCCACAAACCAAUAAAUAAAAUCAUCAACAUUA